UGUUCUCUCUGUUAUAGGUCUUCUACCAAC
rnacentral:piRNA from 1 species